rnacentral:rRNA from 1 species
AGGAGAGUUUGAUCCUGGCUCAGAACGAACGCUGGUGGCGUGUCUUAUACAUGCAAGUCGAGCGAGGCAGCAAUGCCGAGCGGCGAACGGGUGAGUAACGCGUAAGCAAUCUGCCCCGCAUAUUGGGAUAGCCGUGCCAACGCGCGGUUAAUGUCCAGGAGAGUGGCCCCCUGCAUGGGGGGUUGACUAGAGAUUUAUCGGUACGGGAUGAGCUUGCGUCCGAUUAGCUAGUUGGCGGGGCAACGGCCCACCAAGGCGACGAUCGGUAGCCGGCCUGAGAGGGUGAUCGGCCACAUUGGGACUGAGAUACGGCCCAGACUCCUACGGGAGGCAGCAGUAGGGAAUAUUGCACAAUGGGGGGAACCCUGAUGCAGCAACGCCACGUGUGGGAAGAAGCAUUUCGGUGUGUAAACCACUGUCGUGAGGGAAUAAGGCCUAUUCUAGGAUAGGAUUGAAUGUACCUCGAAAGGAAGCACCGGCAAACUUCGUGCCAGCAGCCGCGGUAAUACGAGGGGUGCAAGCGUUGUUCGGAAUCACUGGGCGUAAAGGGAGCGUAGGCGGAGAUUCAAGCGGAUUGUACAAUCCCGGGGCCCAACCCCGGACCUGCAGUCCGAACUGGAUCUCUUGGAUAGUUCAGGGGCAGGCGGAAUUCCUGGUGUAGCGGUGGAAUGCGUAGAGAUCAGGAAGAACACCGAUGGCGAAGGCAGCCUGCUGGGGACUCAUCGACGCUGAGGCUCGAAAGUGCGGGUAGCAAACAGGAUUAGAUACCCUGGUAGUCCCCU